rnacentral:tRNA from 1 species
GCCUGGGUGGCUCAGUCGAUUGAGUGUCUGAUUUUGGCUCAGGUCAUGAUCUCAUGGUUCGUGAGUUCAAGCCCCACUUCCGGCU